CUACGGAGGGUGCAAGCGUUACUCGGAAUCACUGGGCGUAAAGCGCGCGCAGGCGGCUAUUUAAGUUGGAUGUGUAAGCCUACGGCUCAACCGUAGAACUGCAUCCAAAACUAUUUAGCUAGAGUGUGGGAGAGGAAGAUGGAAUUAGUUGUGUAGGGGUAAAAUCCGUAGAGAUAACUAGGAAUACCAAAAGCGAAGGAAAUCUUCUGGAACACAACUGACGCUGAGGCGCGGAAGCGUGGGGAGCAAACAGGAUUAGAAACCCUAGUAGUCC
rnacentral:rRNA from 1 species